rnacentral:lncRNA from 10 species
GCGCCACCCCAUGCAGGCUGGGGACAAGGGGGUGCAGAAGCAGAAGUUGCUGCAAACUCUGAGCUCUUGUACCCCAAGAGAAAGAAGAAAAUGUCCAUUUCCAACUCAGCUAUCCAACAUCUGCUGACUCCAUGCUUUGUACAUCUGCCAAAUUAAUCUUCCUAAAUAGAACCUGCAUUGUGUCAGUCUGUAUUGGAACACUCCCAAGUCACUGCAAUGUCCAUAAUAAAACAAAAUUCAAGAUCUGCCGCAAGAUUGGAGUGCAGUGGUGUGAUCAUAGCUCAGUACAGCUUCGAACUCCUUGGCUCAACUGACCCUUCCACCUCACCCUUCCUAGCAGCUUGGACUACAGGUGAAAUCUGAUUAAAACAAGCACUGCUUGCUUCACACAGAAGUGGAAUCACAAAAGGAAAACAGGUAACCUGAAGCCUGUGUGUAGGAGAAAGGAACACAGCUUCCUUAUUUAGUUAUUUCAUUUGAGAAUUGUAUGUGGUAUGUAUAUGAAGAGUUUGGGAAGGGGGAUAAAUUGUAGGUGUGUAAGUGCAUCUCUGAU